AUCGUCCAGCCCUAAAGAAGACCACUAUGAAUUGCUGAACUAGAAUUGAUCAUUACAUUUGGUUAUUUAGUCCUGAGUUGAGACUAUAGUUUCUUCUCCAUGUGCGGAUAACACUGAAUGCCCUGGUGGAGUAGGCUCUUAUCCAGAAAAGCUUUUAUCACAAAUACUGGGCUCCAAGACUUGGUUUUUUUUUGGGGGGUGGGGGUUUGCUGUAUCAGACAAACCUUUCAAGCUGUAGGGUUCAGUUACACCAUUAAUUCAUGGUGUGAAGAUACAUGUAGUUUCAGAUUAUACUGCAGUAAAUGCGCAGAUACAAGUAUGAAUUCAGCAACUGCAGCUACAGCGUCAAAGUAUUUGCAGAGAAGCAAGAAAUUUAAGAAGUUUGUAGUUUACACUAGUGUUCUUUCUACACCUCUCUUUCCCAUUUAUUGAAAUUCUUUGCCCUGCUAAAUGGCACCUUUCAUCCAAUCACUGACAGCAGAAAGGUUUACAUGGGAGAAAAUGUUAAUGUUAUGAUGUAGCCAUUAAAUUAUAGGGCAGGGAUAAUAUAAACACAUGCAGUUCCCUUUCCAAUGUUCAAGAGUAGAAAUACAGAAUGUUAUACCUGAAAGAUGAAUAAUCUGUAGGCAGAGCAAAAAACAGAUUACAAGUAAGUUGUACUAACAAGUACAGGCAGCAAUAGGAAAGUAAUUAUGGGCAGUCUUAACAGUCUUUACCUCUUUGCAGAGUGAGGUCCAUCCCUAUCAUCCAUCCUUCAGUGCUUCAGUAAUUAUCGGGAGGAAAGGAGGUAGGGAAUAUUUUGCAUCCACAGGAUCCAGAGCUCUCCUGUUCGCCUGGCAUACCCCUGGAGCUUCCAUACUUAUAUUCCCACCUCCAUACUUACAUUCCCCUGCUCUCUAUUUAGUGCCUUCUAGAAUUAUUUUUCCUAGCAGGCAGAAGGCACACAAAUGGUGCAAGGGGGGAUCCCCAAUAUGGCUGUUCCCCAAAUAGGCUUGUCAAGAGAGAGCACAUCCUGCUGUGUUCUCUAAAGGACUUCAUUUUAUAAAUGACCAGCCUUCUAAGCAUAUCCUCACCUUCACAUCUCAAGGAGAGAGCAGGUUUGUAAGGGCAAUGCUGUUAUCCAAGAUAUACCAGUCCUUGCUGGUUUGGGGCUUUAUAAUUACUGUUAAUAAUUUGAUUUGUAUCUUGCCUCUCCUCCCAAAGAGUCUAGGUUGGCAGAUACAGCAAUGAUAAAACAAGAAGGCAGUAACUGGAACUCUUGGUGGUAGCUACAUUGAGCUUUUUAAAGUAAAGAUUGGGUCAAGUGUACCCAGCAAUGCCAUACAAAUAAAAUACCUGAUGGUAGUUACUAAGCAGGACAAAGUAAAAAGCAAGCCAUGCCCUUCAGUGCUACUCCUUGUCCAGUAAAACAAUAGUUGCAGGUAAGUCUAAGCCAAAAAUACCUCCUCAUGUAAAGUUAAAAAACUUCAAUAAUUGUGUGGUGGGAAAGAGGUAGGCAUGUAAGAAAUAAAUGACAAAAAGACGUGUGCUAUAACACACAAGUGUAACAGUGAAAUACUAGUAUCAACAAACUUCACAGACCUUGCAACCACAGCACAUGCUACCUGAGCAGCCUUUGCACAAUAUUUCACAACUGCACAAACAGAACAGAAAAUGCUUCCAUGGAUGUCAUAAAAGCUGUGAUUUCCUGUCAUUGCAAUGACCACAGGGAUGACACCAUCCCUUUUCUUAGUGCCACUGUGUCAGGCAUUAUCCAUUCAGAGCCUGCCUCUCUUGAUACCCCAGCAAUGUGGCUAUGUGUCUAGACUCAAUUCAGACUUUGAUCACCUCUAGAUCUACAUGGAAGAGACAUCUUUUGGAUUGUCGAAAUCACUGAACUGUUCAGCUUCCAAAGAAUCUAGUUAUUUUAAGCAGACAGUGUCCAUCGUAUUUGGAAAAAGAAAAGAAAAACACUAGCCACUGACAUAUUAUGCACUUGGAAGUAUAUGCCAUGUGUUUCCAUGCUGCCUGCAAUCUUAAUUUGAGAAAACAAUAUAAACCACUCAAUCAAAAGAAUCUGUAGUAUACAUAAAAUAUAAUUAAAUCCACAUAUACAUGAAUCAGCAAAAUUUUAAAACAUGUAUACUUAACUAAAUUAUAUGGCUGGGUAGGCUUGCUGAAAUAAAGAAGUUUUUAGCAGGUGUCUAAAACAGUACAGAAUGGGUGUAUGGCUAAUGAGCUGUCUUACUAGAAAACAGACUUCACAAAUGUAGAAAGAACAUUAUAUAUUCCACAGAAUGAGCAGGACAAAGUGGUCUUUCAAGUACACCAGCCCCAAACUAUGAAAGGCCUUGUACACAAACAGUAAAACCUUGAACUAAACUCAGUAGCAAAUAAGUAUCCAGUGCAGAUUUUUGAGCAGAGGUGGUGUAAUAGGUUGGCAGGAUUCCACUGCUGUCAACAAUUGCUCUGAAGCAUUCUCCACUAACUGUGGUUUCUGAACCAACCACAUGGCAAGCCCUACAUUGAAUGCAUUGAAGUAACCAAUGCAUGGACUGCUAUGGUCAAGCUAUCUUGGUCUAGGAACAGCCACAGCUGUUGUAUACUAGUGAAGUUAGUAGAAGGUUCUCCUAUCCACCAGGGCCUCUAGUCACAAAGCUGGAUCCAAUAGCAACUCCAGACUAUGCAUCUGAUCCUUCAAAAAGAGUGCAACUACAUCCAGAACAGGCAAUUAGCAGAUUUCUCUUGUUCCUCUGUCUAUCAGGAUUGAAGCUCAGUUAUUUCCCCUCUUCUGGCCCACCAAUACCCUGGUUCAGGGUCCCUAUGACCACCUCUGAUUCAGUUUUGAAGAAAUAGAACUGAGUGUCAUAAGCAUCCUUGCUCUCAACAGCUUCACGUGGGUAUUAAAUGGCAUUGGGGAUUAGUGCCCUGUAGCACUCCAGGGGGAUGAAAAUCCUCCACGCAGGUAGUAGUGGAACCACUGUUAACACAGGGAUCUCUAAUACCUAUCACAUGAAGCUGGUCCAGAAACCAGACAGAUCUGUGAAAAAAGAGCAAGGUCACACUUCUUUUGUUCCAUUCUCAAUAGAGAUUACCGUAUUUUUCACUCCACAAGACACACUUUUUCCCUCCUAAAAAGAAAGGGGAAAUGUCUGUGCAUCUUACGAAGCGAAUGCUGCGCGGAGGAGGGACGGACUAGGUGCGUCUUAAGGAGCGAAAAAUACGGUAUCUAAUCAGGGCGACCAGGACUGUUUCAGGACUGAACCAUGAAUGGAAUGGGUGAUAAUCUGUAUCAUCCAAGGAAGUCUGACUGCUCCUCCACAAUAUUGUCUAUCACCAUCCCUAAAAAGGGGAUAUUUAUGACUGGUUGAUACUUAAGUCCAAACUACUGCCUCUUUCCAAGUUAUGCAAUGAAGUGCUUACAACACAUAGAACUCAACCACUUAAUGAGGCAUACAGAUUACUGGUGUACACGGUCAAGAGCAGCUUUUUUGCUAUUCACACUACCAUCUUCACACUACCAUAUGCUAGGCAUGAUUAUGUGCACUAACAUAACCAGUGUUCAUUCCAUUUCAUGGUGAGACUUCCACCACUUGCACUCUAGUUUUCAUGCACCCUGAUUCAUGGACCACAGCUUCCUAGAAUACAAGGGAGUCUAUCAGGCUCAUCAACAGUGGAAAGGACAUUCAGCAUCAAUCAUCUGCAAUCUGUUUCUCUGGCUCAACACCAGGAGCAAAGCCUCUAAGCCUGCUGCAACAUGAAUAAAGUUUUCUGAUAAAGGAGAUGGAACUCUUCCGACCCUCCAAGUCUGGCCUGGUGUAUAACAAAAUCCUCCACUAAAAUGAAAGAAAAUGCUCCCAAAUAAUGCCUGAAUCAGCCUUGCAACUAAUGCAUCAUGAUACAUGCAUCAAAGCCAGUAUAUUCCAUCACCAAAAAUAAGAGCUGAGAAAAAUUAUGGUGAAGCAAGAGCUGAUGUUCUUUUAAUUUGCAUAAAUUUAACCAUUGUGGGGAAAGCUGGAUGAAAACUAUGCACUGUUGAUUGAAUUUAGCAGAGAACUUCAGUUGUGGAAAGCAUGUCAAGCAACAAGUUGUAUCUCACCACAGGAAUAAAACUUCAACUGUU